GACGGAGGGUGCUAGCGUUGUUCGGAAUUACUGGGCGUAAAGGGCGCGUAGGCGGCCUUCUCAGUCGGGUGUGAAAGCCCGGGGCUCAACCCCGGAACGGCACCCGAGACGGGUUGGCUGGAGACCGGGAGAGGAGGGUGGAAUAGCCAGUGUAGAGGUGAAAUUCGUAGAUAUUGGCUGGAACACCGGUGGCGAAAGCGGCUCUCUGGCCCGGUUCUGACGCUGAGGCGCGAAAAGCGUGGGGAGCAAACAGG
rnacentral:rRNA from 1 species